GGUUAAGCGACUAAGCGUACACGGUGGAUGCCCUGGCAGUCAGAGGCGAUGAAGGACGUGCUAAUCUGCGAAAAGCGUCGGUAAGGUGAUAUGAACCGUUAUAACCGGCGAUGUCCGAAUGGGGAAACCCAGUGCAAUUCGUUGCACUAUCGUUAACUGAAUACAUAGGUUAGCGAGGCGAACCGGGGGAACUGAAACAUCUAAGUACCCCGAGGAAAAGAAAUCAACCGAGAUUCCCCCAGUAGCGGCGAGCGAACGGGGAGCAGCCCAGAGUCUGAAUCAGCUUGUGUGUUAGUGGAACGGUCUGGAAAGUCCGACGGUACAGGGUGAUAGUCCCGUACACCAAAAUGCACAGGUUGUGAACUCGAAGAGUAUGGCGGGACACGUGGUAUCCUGUCUGAAUAUGGGGGGACCAUCCUCCAAGGCUAAAUACUCCUGACUGACCGAUAGUGAACCAGUACCGUGAGGGAAAGGCGAAAAGAACCCCGGCGAGGGGAGUGAAAAAGAACCUGAAACCGUGUACGUACAAGCAGUGGGAGCACCUUCGGGUGUGACUGCGUACCUUUUGUAUAAUGGGUCAGCGACUUAUAUUCUGUAGCAAGGUUAACCGUAUAGGGGAGCCGCAGGGAAACCGAGUCUUAACUGGGCGUUAAGUUGCAGGGUAUAGACCCGAAACCCGGUGAUCUAGCCAUGGGCAGGUUGAAGGUUGGGUAACACUAACUGGAGGACCGAACCGACUAAUGUUGAAAAAUUAGCGGAUGACUUGUGGCUGGGGGUGAAAGGCCAAUCAAACCGGGAGAUAGCUGGUUCUCCCCGAAAGCUAUUUAGGUAGCGCCUCGUGAACUCAUCUUCGGGGGUAGAGCACUGUUUCGGCUAGGGGGUCAUCCCGACUUACCAACCCGAUGCAAACUACGAAUACCGAAGAAUGUUAUCACGGGAGACACACGGCGGGUGCUAACGUCCGUCGUGAAGAGGGAAACAACCCAGACCGCCAGCUAAGGUCCCAAAGUCAUGGUUAAGUGGGAAACGAUGUGGGAAGGCACAGACAGCCAGGAUGUUGGCUUAGAAGCAGCCAUCAUUUAAAGAAAGCGUAAUAGCUCACUGGUCGAGUCGGCCUGCGCGGAAGAUGUAACGGGGCUAAACCAUGCACCGAAGCUGCGGCAGCGACACUAUGUGUUGUUGGGUAGGGGAGCGUUCUGUAAGCCUGCGAAGGUGACCUGUGAGGGUUGCUGGAGGUAUCAGAAGUGCGAAUGCUGACAUAAGUAACGAUAAAGCGGGUGAAAAGCCCGCUCGCCGGAAGACCAAGGGUUCCUGUCCAACGUUAAUCGGGGCAGGGUGAGUCGACCCCUAAGGCGAGGCCGAAAGGCGUAGUCGAUGGGAAACAGGUUAAUAUUCCUGUACUUGGUGUUACUGCGAAGGGGGGACGGAGAAGGCUAUGUUAGCCGGGCGACGGUUGUCCCGGUUUAAGCAUGUAGGCUGGUUGUCCAGGCAAAUCCGGAUAAUCAAGGCUGAGGUGUGAUGAUGAGGCACUACUGUGCUGAAGUAACAAAUGUCCCUGCUUUCAGGAAAAGCCUCUAGCCAUCGGUAACAAUUAAAUCCCUACCCCCAUCCGACCCAGGUUGGUCAGGAAGAGAAUAACCAGGGGCGCUUGAGAGAAAUCGGGGUGAAGGAACUAGGGUAAAAUGGUGCCGUAACUUCGGGAGAAGGCACGCUGGUGUGUAGGUGAAGCCCCUGCGGGUGGAGCUGAGACCAGUCGAAGAUACCAGCUGGCUGCAACUGUUUAUUAAAAACACAGCACUGUGCAAACACGAAAGUGGACGUAUACGGUGUGACGCCUGCCCGGUGCCGGAAGGUUAAUUGAUGGGGUUAUCCGUAAGGAGAAGCUCUUGAUCGAAGCCCCGGUAAACGGCGGCCGUAACUAUAACGGUCCUAAGGUAGCGAAAUUCCUUGUCGGGUAAGUUCCGACCUGCACGAAUGGCGUAAUGAUGGCCAGGCUGUCUCCACCCGAGACUCAGUGAAAUUGAACUCGCUGUGAAGAUGCAGUGUACCCGCGGCAAGACGGAAAGACCCCGUGAACCUUUACUAUAGCUUGACACUGAACAUUGAGCCUUGAUGUGUAGGAUAGGUGGGAGGCUUUGAAGCGUGGACGCCAGUCUGCGUGGAGCCAACCUUGAAAUACCACCCUUUAAUGUUUGAUGUUCUAACGUUGGCCCCUUACCGGGGUUGCGGACAGUGUCUGGUGGGUAGUUUGACUGGGGCGGUCUCCUCCCAAAGCGUAACGGAGGAGCACGAAGGUUAGCUAAUCCUGGUCGGACAUCAGGAGGUUAGUGCAAUGGCAUAAGCUAGCUUGACUGCGAGCGUGACGGCGCGAGCAGGUGCGAAAGCAGGUCAUAGUGAUCCGGUGGUUCUGAAUGGAAGGGCCAUCGCUCAACGGAUAAAAGGUACUCCGGGGAUAACAGGCUGAUACCGCCCAAGAGUUCAUAUCGACGGCGGUGUUUGGCACCUCGAUGUCGGCUCAUCACAUCCUGGGGCUGAAGUAGGUCCCAAGGGUAUGGCUGUUCGCCAUUUAAAGUGGUACGCGAGCUGGGUUUAGAACGUCGUGAGACAGUUCGGUCCCUAUCUGCCGUGGGCGCUGGAGAAUUGAGGGGGGCUGCUCCUAGUACGAGAGGACCGGAGUGGACGCAUCACUGGUGUUCGGGUUGUCAUGCCAAUGGCACUGCCCGGUAGCUAAAUGCGGAAGAGAUAAGUGCUGAAAGCAUCUAAGCACGAAACUUGCCCCGAGAUGAGUUCUCCCUGAGACUUUAAGUCUCCUGAAGGAACGUUGAAGACGACGACGUUGAUAGGCCGGGUGUGUAAGCGCAGCGAUGCGUUGAGCUAACCGGUACUAAUGAACCGUGAGGCUUAACCUU
rnacentral:rRNA from 1 species